rnacentral:rRNA from 1 species
UACGGGGGGGGCAAGCGUUGUUCGGAAUUACUGGGCGUAAAGGGCUCGUAGGCGGCCAACUAAGUCAUACGUGAAAUCCCUCGGCUUAACCGGGGAACUGCGUCUGAUACUGGAUGGCUUGAGAUUGGGAGAGGGAUGCGGAAUUCCAGGUGUAGCGGUGAAAUGCGUAGAUAUCUGGAGGAACACCGGUGGCGAAGGCGGCAUCCUGGACCAACACUGACGCUGAGGAGCGAAAGCAUGGGUAGCGAACAGG